rnacentral:lncRNA from 1 species
GGUGAGCAAACGUAUCAAACCAAAAGUCAAACCAAAUUCAAAGCAUGUCUUUGUUACCAACAACGUAUCUACUACUACGUCAGACCUUACCAAACCACUUCAACUCACUCAUUUCUUUACUCUCUUUGCCCUUCCCCUCGUGUAUGGCGUCUGGGUAGGCGGUGCAGGACGUCGAACACGAGUCGAUCGCCGCCUAUUUGCGCUGCCCACAUUGCCUCUCUUCUCCGGUACAGUCACUUGUGCCGGCAACUCUGUGGCAGCACCCAUAUAAAACAUUUCAACAGUUUAGUGAAAUGGUUCUGUGUGAACAACGCCACAUAGUCGUGGAAUCAGAUUAGUGAAGGGAAAAAAAGCACAUACCGUCCACCUCCGUGACAUCAUGGGUCGAUGGGCCUUCCUCGUCGUCGCUGGGGAGGGUAGGGAAUAUCUCUCCUGGGUCUAGUUCAAAGGAAAUUGGAUGAAAUGGAUAAACAUAAGAUAUGAAUUAUCAUUUGCGCAAGGGAAAGUGUUUCGUAAUAGAACCUAAAUCACAGAAGUAGGAAAUAAUUACGCACGUACCGUUCAUGUCCUGCAUGUCACCCUCCUCCGUACGAUGAUUGUCCUCUCGGGUCUGUUCGUCUCCGCCUUCCCCGUCUAGUUGGAAGACAGAGAACA